rnacentral:ncRNA from 1 species
GAAAAAACGGAGAACGGAAAGAGUAAUAUGGAAGGGAGUCAUCAGAGAGGAGCUGUCACCGGCUGAAAGCAGCUCCGGGCGAAAUCCAUGUGAAGUGCAUCCGGGAGUUGAUCCGGCGAAAGGAGGGCGGCCAGAGGAGGGCGCGCCGAUUAGCCGGGUACGCGGUGGCGGGCGUUAUCAGCCGGAAAGCGGGGAGCAGCUGCGUGUCUGAGGCAGGCAGGUGCUUUCAACAGGAGUGGAACCACGGAUAAGAAUUCGUCUCUUAC